CUAAAUACUUAUAAUAAAGAUGGAAAGCAAAAGGCAGAAAGAGGUGGAAGUGAAGACCAGAUGAGGUAGAGACAUUUGGUUGUACUGGAGAGACUAUACCCAAGGAGAUUAGACCAUCUUUCCUGGGGACACUCAGCUGAAUCUUCCAAAUAGCAUCAUAAUUCUACGGAGCUUUGCAUUUGGGGCAAAUAGCACUUCAGCUGUGGGAUCAAUGAAUACUAACAUUAAAAAGGAAGCACUCCAAGUAGUUAAAGAAGGAUGAGGAGAACAGUGUAAACUAAAGUCAGCAUGUACGAAGAUUAGCAUUUAAGGGAUGAAGAUGCCAGAAAAACACUGCCAUUUGAUGAUUGCAGUUAAGAGAUUCAGGAGAAAACCCCAGAAGUAACAUCUGGACGAUUAAAUUCUUAGUCACAAAUUAUUGUGCUAUACUCAACUGCAUUGGCUG
rnacentral:lncRNA from 1 species